UUUACUUCUUGAAUGAAUGUCACCCCCAUCAACAGAAAUAAAUUUUGGGCAUAUGGGUGAUGGUGCAGUAGUCAUUUUCCUUAAGCAAAUUGGUCUGGUGAAGAAGGGAAUAGGCAAGCGGGCAGGCAAACAGAGAGACUUUAGCAUGGCACUUCUAUUGCAUUGCUGCUUCUGAGUUGAGAGUGAGAAACUGAGGACUGGCACAAUUUUGGGAAAUUAGGGAUUUUCGGG
rnacentral:misc_RNA from 1 species